rnacentral:lncRNA from 1 species
CGGGUAUCAAACAACGUCACUUUACCAAUAUUUUCAAAUUACUUUACCAAACUCUCUCUUUCUCGCACCAAACUCUGCUUCGCUGUCGCUGUUCUCCCCCUCUACAAACUUCAAGGUAUGCUUAUAAACUCUCAUAUUCUUCUGCUUUCCCCCUUUCUUUAUGUCUCCUCCCAUUCCCCUUCCCAUUUAGUAUCCUCCUCUACCAUUACUCUCUAAUAUGCCUAAAUUCCCAAAACCCUAAAAAGUUAUUGGAAAAUGAAAAUAUGGGUGUUGCUAGAUUCUUUUCGCUUGUAAAUUUUGUGCAAAUUCUUGUUUUGGGUGUAAAUUUUGUGCAAAUUCUUAUUUUGUAAAAUUGACAGCAUUCAGGUAAAAGAAAAUUAUUGGGUAUUAGAAAGGUUUCAGUUGGUACAAUCAAUUUUGAGUUCUCUUGAUGUCAUCUUCUUCUCUUCAUUUUGUUGUUCAAAUGAAGGCAGUAUAAAGAGUUCUAUUUGCAAAUAAUAAAGAUUUAGUUUUUUUUUCUUUUUUAUGCUUUGCCCUUUAAAAAAUGAUUUGUAAAUUUAGGAGUUGUAACAUGGUAAUGAAACAAAUUUAAGAGAGUUGUAUCAUUUUACAUUAUUAUCCGUAAAAAGAGAUUUAAAAUAGUACUUUGCAGGAGAGUUGACUUUAAAAUUUUGAAUGGCUUCACAAGACUUUUCUUAAUUGUUCUUAUGUGUAUCUAAUGCAUUUUUACAUGUAAAGUAUGAGGGAACUCUCGGUCUUCAUACUCCAUAUUCUUUCCCAAACAAAAAUCUUGUUUCUUCGACCUCACUUUUAGGCCUCAAUCUGCAUUUUCAUCAAAAUCAUGAAUUUUAAAGUGGGAAAAAAAUCAGGCAGAUUAUUGUUAUGAUAUGACAAAAAUGUUAUUGUUGUGAUAUUUGUCAUUGUAAUGAUAUGGCAAAAAUGUGUUAUGACGCAGAAAACAUUACCACAUUCAAUGGAAUUGUCCUAAAUAAUGACUGAAAAUUCUUCUACAAAUUCAACAUAAAUAACAUACAUCUGGCAAAGCUAACAAAUACCAUAGAGCAAAUAACUCAAUCCUAAAUCUAAUAUUUAAGUACCUUUGUUCUUCAACAACAUCAGUGUAUAUCUGGUAGUUAGAAAAGGACGAUUUAAAGUCCUUCAUAUUUCUAAUGCUACUGAAAUUGCUAAACUACCAUUGUCUGUGACGCCCCAAAAUAGGUCCAAUCCACUCAACCCAUUCUGAGUCGCCAAAUACAUGGUACAGAAACAACUAUAACUUCAUUAAUAUAAUUGUCGCACAAAAUAUGACAACACAUAAACUGUGGAUACCAACUGUGACUCUCAUCCCUUUACUUGGAUAGCACCUCACAUUGAUAUCUUAUAAUGGUACCUUACAUAAAGGUAAGGUCAAUAACUGUUUUAGAAAUUAAAAUAUUUGAAAAAUGCUCAAGGAAACCUUCGUACAUGGGAGACCAUGCAUCUAAGUUGUAAUAGAUAUCAUAUGACUCGAGAAUUAUCCUUGGUUGACCCAAUAGACCCCAAAGAAAAACGAGAAGAUUACUAUCAUAUUCUUCCCAAUGGUGAGUCUUCUCUUGACAUAUCAUUAUCUCCACUGUCUCUAAUUGAGAAUUAUACUUCAAACAAACACCAAGAUUAUAUAGGUAGUGCUCGUAGAUAUACUCAGCAAGUGGAUGAGCACAACCCUGUCUUAUGAUGACACGAGGUUGUAUGUCAUUAGACAUCUUGUAUGAUAGUGGCAAAACACCCUUCCAACGUUGGGUUCGCCUCACCCUAUUUGAUUCACCAAAUAUAACUACUAAAUGAUGACCACCGUUCUAUUCCCCUGUUACCCCCGCUCGACCCAGCUACACUCUUAUUACCUGAAAGGAAUUGUGAAGCAAAAGGGUGAGCACAACUAGCUCAGUAAAGAAUAUCAUGACUAAAGAUAAUUAAAUUAUCAAUAGCCUUCAUCAAUAAUAAAUCAGAGAUUUAGAACAUAUGGUAGAUGAAAAAAAAAUUUCAACCAUAGUUGCAGCGGAACGAGCAAUCCAUUAGAAGAGUCAAAUAGACUAUAAAGUCUAUUAUCUUCUCCAUGUUAAAAGUCCACCAACAAUGUUUUAUCCCUGUAACAUCAAUCAACAAUUCCUGUCCACAAUCACAUGUAUAACUCAUAAUCGUAAUUGUUGUUCUAAAUUCCUUUUCUCAUUCAGGACGAAGAUAAUUUUCAUCACUUGUCUUUACCUGAAAUAUCAAAGAUCAUGGUUAUACCAAAUCACAGUUCCUGUUCAUAAUCAUACUAAUAAAUUCAUCUUUGCACUACGGGCCAAAGAUAUUCAUCAACAGUUCAUCUUUGCACUACAGGCCAAAGAUAUUCAACAACAGGUCAUCUUUGCACUACGGGCCAAAGAUAUUCAUCAACAAUUCAUCUUUGCACUACAGGCCAAAGAUAUUAAUAUCUCAAAGAAAUAUAUAAUCAUUUCAGAAUUUAUAUAAACAAUAAUUAUAACCAUGUUGAUCAAUUCACCUUUGCACUUAAGCUAAAGAUAUUCAAUUAUAAAUUCAAUGAUCAUGAUCAUAUCAAUCAACAAUUCAUCUUUGCACUACUGGCCAAAGAGAACCCAUAGUCACGAUCAUACCAAUAAUAUACCCAUCUUUACACUCAAGUGAGAGAAAUUUUAUCACCAGGGUUAUAAAAAUGUUAUAUAUGAUAAUAAAAACAAUAUGAUCAAAACAUGUAUUUAAUUUCAAGAGUAAGAUUCAUAAAUCAAUGAUAUUUUGGUCAGAAAAAGAAACCAAUUUUGUCGUGAAUAGUAACCCGUGAAUAGUAACUCGUGAAUAGUAACUCGUGAAUAGUAACUCGUGAAUAGUACCUCGUAUUCGUACAUAGUACCGUAUACAUAAAUAGUGAUGUAUACGUAAAUAGUGCCAUAUACAUGAAUAGUGCCGUAUACGUGAAUAGUAACUCCGACACGAAAAGGUAAAAAUUUCCCAAUGAAAUUCAUACCAAUAUUUCGGUAUAAUGAUAUUGAAAGAAAUAAUAUUAUUUACGAAGAAAAUAACAUCUUUUACCAUCCCUUACCUCAAAAGAAUAUCACUUCUGACUGAAAUAUUGGAUAUAAUGCUGAAGAAAACUUGCACUGAAUAACAAUUCUCAAAGUAUCUAAUUACUCACAAAAAUAUGCUCGAUAUUAUAGAGAGAAAACUUCAGAUUCUGGUGUAAUUUUCAAUUCUAACUAAACACCCUAUUUAUAGGAAAAUGCUAGAACGCCAAAGCAGAAUAAAUUAAUAAAAUAUUAAUUUUUUCAAAACUUUUUACGCACACCUUUUUGACCAAAAUUCAGCCACCAUCAGUGGGGCCCACCAAAAUUCAGAUUUUCCACACCAACCAAAAGUGGGGCCCACCCAUGUUUUUAAUAAAAAUAUUUAUUUCUGAAAUUUCAAUAAUUCAUAAUAAAUAGCCCUUUUAUCAAAAAAAUACGAAUUUUAUGUCCAUUCCAUAAGAAAUUAAAUUCUCUACAACUUUGCAGAAGAAAGUUUUUUUAAAUUCCAAACAGAAAAUGCCCGAAAUUCACAUAUGGACGAUCUUUAAUACACCCCCUUCUGACAAAAUACUAAUAAAACACCUCAGCAUUAAUUCCUUCAUUUAUAUCCACAUAAAAUAAAUAUUUUCUUAUCAUAUAAAUCAAUAAUUAAUUAUUCACAAACAAUAUUAAAGAAUCACAAUUAUGACAACCAGGUCGUUCUCAAGAAAGAGAGGGCUUUCCGAUAAGGAUUUCUCCUUGGCGCAUAAUUAGGUGAUCAAACCCCUUUCCUAGACAGAACUUCCUUAGACAUUGUCAAUAAUGCUAUCUAAUUUUAUUCAAAUAAUAUGAAUUAUUGAUCUGAUAAUGGAAAAUACUGUGCAGUGAUAAUUAUUGAAACAACAAUAAUAUAAAUUAUAAACGUAGCAAUUAUUGAAUCAAUAAAAUAAAAUAUUGAACAAUAAUUACUGUUGGUUGAUUUCACAAUCAAUAAAUUUGUGCAAGUGUACACAGUCAACAAGUAAUAAAGUGAUAAGAUAGAGUUUUGAUCCCACAGAGAAUUCUAAUCAAUAAAUUCCAACUACUAGCACUAUAUCAAUCCAAUUUUAUUUAAACAACCAUAAAGUGUGAUUUUUCAAAAUAAGAAAAACUAAAUUAAACAAUUAAAAAGAGAUUACUCUAAAAUAAAUCAAACAAACAAAAUUAAGAUUUUAACGAAUGAAUUCAGAUAAAUAAAGAUUAAGACUCCAAUAUCCUCAAUUAUGAACUAUAAAUCAAUUAUUCAAUUAUCCCAAUUAUUAUGCCUACUAAAUUGUUAACAGGAAUUCUUCAAUGUCAAAAGCCCUUUUCUAAGUGAUCAAUUAACUUCUAUUAAAUCCAAUUAAUCUUGCUAUAUUCCUAUGCAAAAUAAUUAAAUUAAACUCUUUCAAUCCCAAUUCCUAACUUGUUACAUGCAGUGAACAGAUAUUUUCAUUCAAUUCACGACCCUAAUUAUUCGUCAUGCAAAUAAUUAAGAAUACAUGUUAUCAUGCCCAUUUCUAACCCUAGAUCUCCUAUUCCAAUUCCUUCUAGAGUAACAAGGUAAUUAUUGGCCAAAUAAUUAAUCAAUAAGCAUAAGAUAAGAUAAAUAAUUCACUUCGACAUAAAUAAUUGGAAUAAAUUGAAUAACUAAUUUAUAGACAUAAAAGGUUUAAUUGAAAUCUUAAUGAAAGAAUUAGUUCAUGAUAGAAUUUAAAACCAACAAUUCUUUAAAAAUCAUCCUUAAGGAAUUACACCAAUUGAAAAAUAGGAGAAGAAGAAAACUCUAGAGCCAAUCCUUCAAUCUUUAAGUAAUCCUUUACUUAGUCUUCAAUUGUACUAGUUCCCCCUUUUAAUUCAGCACAGUAAACUUUAUAUACUAUUCACAUUGCACCAUAAUCCUUUCUCAAAUCAACCUCUCAAUUAAGCCACAAAUCCAAGUCAACUCGUUGGUCAACACGCGCGUCUUUGGUCAACUGAUGCCGGGCUUCAGCGCCCCGGCGCUGUGGAAUGAACUAGCUAGAGCGCCCCGGCGCUGAGCUUCAAAAUAAUUGCGAAAAUGCCAUUCACAGCUCAAAUUCCCAAUUUGCCCCUGUGUCUCCUGAAUCUGCAAAAUAACAACAAAUCACAAUAAAAAUUCUACUAAACGACUUGAGGAUACAAUAAUUUAAGCUCGAUUAUAUUCAAUUCAUGGGUAUAUUACCCAAUCAUCAAAUACCCCAAAACUUAAAUCGUUGCGUGUCCUCAAGUAACAAAACACAAAACACUACGAAAAACUAAACAACCAUACAAAUGCACCUAAAACUUUCUACAUGUUCGUAAUUCCAGCAAUCAAAUAGCACACCGUAUAUUCAUUAGGCCUCAGAAAAAUCAUAAAACAUGCUAAUACCUCAUAUUAAGACAGAUCAAUAAUAUCCCAACAAUCAAUAAAUCUAAAUCUAUAAUUACUGAUAUCGUGUGUGUGUGUUCAACGACCAUGCUAACCAUUGAAAAACAAAAUAUGAAAGAUAGUAGAUUUCUUAGAAGGCAUCAUACAGUGUAAACUCGAGAACUCCUCAAAUAAACUUGAUUCGGCUAAAAUCAAACAAUUACCAAAGUUCAAGGGUCAAAAUAGAAUACUUAUGCUUUUUUUCUUUUUUUUAACGGGGUUUUUUUGCACUUUUUCCGCUUUAUUUUUAUUUUAUUAUUAUUAUUAUUAUUUUCCUCAUGACUAUGCAUUGUCCUAUUCCCUUAAGCUUUUCAGUGCUACCUUAACGAGUUUUCGACCAACGACUCUCAAGCCAUUAAGACCUUAGGGCGCUAGGUGUAAAGACAAUCCCCUCGGGCUUACUUACUCAAGUAGCAAAGGCCACAAAACUAGACAAGUAUGCCACGGUGUUUAUUUAUUUAUUUUUUUUCAAAGCUUAUAUACUCCAAAUAUUUUUCCCCCAAACUUGAGUUUAUGUCUAAAUUUAGUCAUCACUAGCUAUUCAAAUUGUUCAUUCAUUUCACUAGCAUUCAUCCUUUAGAACUUUAUUAUCUAUCCAUUUAAACUUUCUUAGCCAACAUGGUCAUUUUGCAAAACGUGCUAUCUUGAUAAUAUCAGUGUCAAGCAGAUAAAGAUUUCAAUUAUGUCAAGAAAAUCAUAUCACUAGCUUACCAAUCCUUACUAGACUUAUUCAUGCAAUUUUAAUUUCAUCAUUGGCCCCAAACAUACGUAACUAUUAAACAACUGGAAUUAAUAUGCAAUCCUAGAUGCAACUCUUAAUCAACAAUAAAAACUCAAAUUAUCCACAAAUUACUACAAUCUACAAAUGCAAAUAAAAAUUAACUACCCCCAAACUUAUCAAGAACAAUGUCCUCAUGCGAAAAAUAUAGCAAUAAAAAUAAUAGGGGACUUCCCUGACGAGCUCAUUCCUCAGGUGCAACAUCAUCAUCCUCGCUCAUCUAUUGAUCAGAAGGGGGAAACACAAGCAGAACAGGAGCAGUAGGGAACUGGUUAAGAUUAACUCUCGGGUACAGUUGAGCGUGCAUGGAAUUCUGGGCAGCAAAUUGGUCGACCAAAUAUUUGUAGAUGACAUCUUGUCGUUCAGACAGACGGACAUUUUGGGAUUCGAGAUUAUAGAACCACCCGUCAAUUUUGCGCUGGACAACCUCAGGGACAACACCACGGUGAGCUGCGGAGGAAGGACCAUAUGUGGGUGGGGUUGAAGGUUGUGAAGCUUGAGGAGCUUCAACUUGGGGAAUUAUAAAACCCAAUCCCCUAGGGUGGUUCUCCCCCCCUGUCCACACUUUAUACCUGCUGAUCAAUUUAUGGUCCAACACGGGCAUUGGUAGCUGAAUCAUCUCAUCCGAUUUUCAUUCUUCCCCAAACUUGGUACAUAAAACGCAAAUGAGAGACGGAUGGGGUAACCCUCCUGUGGUCCCUCGACGUGACGCUCGGAGAAUGGACUGCUGAAUAAGGUGGUCGACAUCAAUUUUUAAGCCUUGAAUUAUGGAAUAUAGCAGCACCGCCCGCUCCUUGGUGACAUGGCUCACAUGUGUGCAUGGCAUCAGUUUAGCGCAUAAAAAUGCAUACCAAGCCUUCCCAUAUAAGCUGAGGUGCGACAGAGGAAAUGUCAUACUACCUCGUUCAUGCAUGGUCCAUGUGGUGCCCAGUUGACAAAGCUCACGGAUAAUUGCUUCAUAAUCAGGGCCUUGACUCACAAGAUUAGCAUACUCGUCGUUGUGUCCCUCUAAUGGCAGUUGAUAGCACCCGUUAAUGUCUUCUUCGCCAAAUUCGACUGUCUUGCCUCUCACAUACACCCCAUAGUGGUAGUGCUCGGGAACGUUGGCGUAGAACUCUUUGACGACUGCAAUCACUGCUGGAUCGGGUUGUUCGGUGAGUGAGAACCAAUUUCGCUCAGCUAUCAUGACCGCUAUGUCCCCGUCUUUGGAUUGAUAGGGCCUUAAACCUCGUUCGGGAAUGAGAAAGCGGGUGGCCAUCUUGUUGUAGCAUUCCAAUGCCUCGACGCUGACAAACCUUCGAUUAUCAAAUUUUGUAGAGCUGAGGUGGUUCCGGAACCUUCACCACGUUGACGCUUCGAUGCCAUUGAGAUAAAUCUGCACAGAAAUCGCAAUCAAACAGAUUAAAAUUGGACAUAAAUCUAGUAUGAACAUAUGUACCCAUAGCACUACCCCCAAACUUCAAAAUAAGUGCACAUUUGGAAACAUAGUUAGGGGUGUGGUGAGACAUAAUAGCAUGAAAAUACAAAAUUGGCUAAGUAAGCUCAUUUUUCAUUCACAACGCACAAUUUUCCAAAGCUACACAAGUUACGCUCAAAAGAUAUGACAUGUAAAUCAAUAUGACCCCACGUAUGCAUCGAUACAGUUUAGCCCCCUCAAUAUUGAUAUAUAUGUGUGAUAGUAGACCUACGGUAUUAGGGUGGCAAGAUGGCAAGUAAAUUCAGUGUGUGGGUAUGGUGUUGUGUGGUAUUAGCAAAGACAAUUGACUCAGGCAUAAUCUCAAACACUUUGUGGGCAUUUUACAAAUCUCCUUGAACAUCCCUAUUAGCAUAGCAAUCCAAACUUUAAUCACUCCAACAUCAUUGACACAUAUAUAUGCAUAUUAAUCAACAGUAUUUCACACAUGCAAAAAGAAUUUAGCCACAUGAAGGACGAUAAUAUGCAAUCUUAGUCAUGAGAGAGAUGAAUCAAGGUCAAUAUUAACACACCAGGUUGCAUUUACCAGUCUGCAAUUGAGAUUGGAUGGAACAGAGAUUUGGAAAUUAAAACAGUACAUACCUUGGAGAUGGAUAUAACAGACAAAAUUACUUAUCACGAUGAUGAACGAAUGUCAGAUGUGGAACAACUUCAAAGAUUAAUCAGGUAUAUAAAUAAGAAUUGGGAAAGCAGUUACGAGAGGAGAAAGAAUAGGGUGAUAUGAAAGUGGAACGUGGGUAGUAAUUGAGUGUGAGGAAAAGAGAACCGAACAGACUUUUAAAUCAAGUUGGAAUUUCAAACCUGGGGCCAGCGCCGGGGCGCUGGCAUUUAUAUUGUCCAGAGCGCCGGGGCGCUUGAAGUCAAUAGCUGGAAUGGCCCCCUAGCGCCAGGGCGCUGUGUUUAAACUAGGAUGCAGUGCCGGGGCGCUGAGAUGCAGAAUCUUGAGAACAGCCUAGCGCCGGGGCGCUGAAGGCUAGGAAUUUAUGGGCGUCGGGGCGCUGAAGGUAUGCAUCAUGUUUUGUGGUCAAGCGCCGGGGCGCUGACUUCAUGUUUAUAACGAGCGCUGGGGCGCUGAUUACCAUCCAUGUAAUCCUUUGCUCAAUAUACAGCUUUCCUAGAAGCAAGAAAUCCAUGAAUAAUGUUAUGCUUGAGUAUUGACUAUCAACUAACAAUAAUAAUGAAGUAAAAUAAAAAUAACAAAUAUUUUGAAUGAAGUAAAACAAAAUAAACUAAAACUCUUUGGGUUGCCUCCCAUUAGCGCUUGGUUUAUAGUCGUCAGCCCGACUUUUCUAUGUUGCUCAAUUGUCUACUGGUUCAGAGAGGUACAUGGCCGUAAAUUGGCGGUCGAUGGGUCCACUCCAAUAAUGCUUGAGCCGUUGGCCGUUUACCUUGAAUGUUCGCUUCGAAUUCGGUUCCUCGACUUCGAUGUUUCCAUGUGGUGCGACUGAUAUAACCCGGAAUGGCCCGGACCAGCGAGAUUUCAACUUACCGGGGAAUAGACGCAAUCGUGAAUUGAAUAGUAAGACUUGUUGGUCCGGUUCGAAUUUUUGAUCAAGGAUUUUCUUAUCAUGCCAGGUUUUGACUUUCUCCUUGUAGACUUUUGCGUUCUCAUAUGCAUUGAACCGAAAUUCGUCCAUCUCAUAUUUAAUUGCAGUAACCUUUUCUCCCCUGCUGCUUGAAGGUCGAGAUUCAGUUUUCGGAUGGCCCAGUAUGCACUGUGUUCUAAUUCGACCAGGAGAUGACAAGCUUUUCCGUACACCAUCCUGUAGGGUGACAUGCCUAUAAGAUUCUUGUAAGCUGUUCGAUAUGCCCAUAGGGCAUCAUCUUGACGCAUUGCCCAGUCUUUCCGUGACAGAUUGACCACCUUUUCUAAGAUUCUCUUAACUUCCCGAUUUGAAACUUCCGACCAUUGGUUUACGGAUGAUACGCGGCUGUAAUUUUGUGACGGACCCCAUACUUUAUAAGCAAUUUAGUGAACUGCUUAUUAUAGAAAUGAGUUCCCACAUCACUGAUUAUCGCCCUCGGUGUCCCAAAUCAUGUGAAGAUAUUUUUCUUCAAAAAUUGUAGUACGACGUUGGCAUCAUUCGAGGGUAACGUUGCGACUUCUACCCAUUUGGAAACGUAGUCGACCACCAACAGAAUGUACUGAUUAUUGAAGGAGGAUGGAAAAGGUCCCAUAAAAUCGAUUCCCCACACAUCGAAUAGGUCAACCUCCAAGAUUGUAGUAAGUGGCAUUUCAUUUCGUUUGGAAAUAUUACCUACUCGUUGACACCGAUCACAUUUUAGCACAUAUAGGUAUGCAUCUUUGAAUAGAGAGGGCCAAAAAAAUCCCGAUUGCAGCACUUUGGCCGCUGUCUGAUCACCUGCGUAAUGACCUCCGUAAUCUGAUGAGUGGCAAUAACCUAAUAUGCUAUCCAUCUCUUCGUGUGGCACACAUUGUCUAAUCAUUUGAUCCGCGCAAGCCUUAAACAGAAAUGGUUCAUCCCAAUAAUAUUGCUUGACAUAGUGGAGGAACUUCUUUCGUUGAUGCGAAUUCAAAUCCUGGAGUAAUACCUUUCCAACCAAGUAAUUCACUUAAUCUGCAUACCACGGCAAUAUCGUUAUUACUCGAAGAAGCUGUUCAUUCGAAAACCUCUCAUUAAUCAUGACGUUGUCUUUUUGCUGAGCUUCCGCAUUUUCCAACCGAGAAAGAUGAUCCGCCACCUGGUUCUCGGUACAUUUUCUAUCCUGGAUCUCCAAAUCAAAUUCUUGUAGUAACAGUACCCACCGUAUUAACCGCGGUUUGGCAUCCUUCUUCUCAAUCAGAUAUUUAAUGGCAGAAUGAUCAGUGUAAACAAUUACCUUAGUCCCUAUGAGAUAUUCUCUGAAUUUGUCGAAGGCAAACACAACCGCAAGUAAUUCUUUUUUGGUGGUCGUGUAGUUCAACUGAGCAUCUGUCAACGUCUUGCUGGAGUAGUAGAUAGUGUGAAAAUUUUGUCGUGACGUUGUCCCAAUACUGCUCCAACUGCGUAGUCACUGGCGUCACACAUCAAUUCAAACGGUAAAGACCAAUCGGGCGCCACUAUAAUUGGAGUUUAGACCAAUUUCUUCUUUAAUACUUCAAACGCCUCGAUAUAUGACAGAUCCAUCUUGAAAGGCACAUCCUUCUCCAAAAGGGAACAUAAGAGUUUCAAAAUUUUGGAAAAAUCUUUAAUGAAGCGUCUGUAAAAACCCGCAUGUCCCAAGAAGCUCCGUAUUCCCUUGACAGAUGUUGGAGGAGGUAGUUUCUCAAUCGUUUCAAUUUUCACUUUAUCCACCUCUAAGCCUGCUGCAGAAACCUUAUGCCCCAAAAUAAUCCCCUCUUGCACCAUAAAGUGACAUUUCUCCCAGUUAAGAACAAGGUUAGUCUCCACACAACACUUCAACACUAAGACCAGAUUAUUCAAGCAUAAAUCAAAAUUAUCACCGAACACGGAGAAGUCAUCCAUGAAUACUUCCAAAUUUUGUUCUACCAUAUCAAAAAAGAUCACCAUCAUGCACCGUUAAAAGGUUGCCGGCGUAUUACAUAACCCAAAAGACAAACGCCGGAAUGCAAACGUACCAUAGGGCCAUGUGAAUGUAGUUUUUUCUUGAUCUUCCAGGGCUAUGUCAAUUUGAUUAUACCAGGAAUAUCCAUCCAAAAGAUAGUAGAACUGAUGUCCCGCUAACCUAUCCAGCAUCUGAUCAAUGAACGACAAGGGGAAGUGAUCCUUGCAUGUGGCUUUAUUCAGCUUGCGGUAAUUCAUACAUACUCUCCAUCCUGUAACGGUUCUAGUAGGGAUGAGCUCAUUAGCUUCGUUCUUCACCACUGUCAUACCCCCUUUCUUUGGUACGCACUGUAUAGGACUUACCCAUGAACUGUCCGAGAUCGAUUAUAGCUCGCUACGAACUGAGCUGAUUCAGCAUUUAUGGCACAUUGAUCUGUAACAUGACUCCCAACACAUAACUCACAAACCAUUGCUACUUACUGCGUGGAUGGUGGAGUCCAUGUUUUCAUUUUCUUAGCUAAUGCGGACACCUGUGCUGCCAAUGCUAUCACUGUAUCCGCUUCAAACUUUCCCGGUGUUUUCGGAGGGUUUGACCUAGUCAUGGGCCACUAAUAGUUGUUGUUGGCCAUCGUUUCUAGCAGUUGAUAAGUGUAGUAGCCCCAAAUUUGGGUCCUAAUCACCACAGAUCUGGUAUACUAUUUCCAUAACUAAUUGCGGAAGAUAUAAACAUAAAGUGUUUAUACAAUACAAUUUACACACUAUUCCCCAAAAUCGAGUAACCUUAACUUAUACACAAUUCAUAAACUAUCUAACAUAUAACAUUAUUAUCAAACUAUACUAUUACAAACUAGCCGCACAUUUUAUCCCAAGCUGAACUUGGUAUUAACCUUUUUCCUGUAUCCGAACGCAUUCGCCUUAUCUGCAAUGUUUAUCAUGAUAUAGCAAGGGUGAGCAUGAAAGUUGCCCAGCAAGUUUAAAUACAAUUUAAGGAUUUAUCAUGAUUGGAAGAGUCUGAAUAAUAAGCUGGCUAUAAUUCAUCAAUAUAAUUGACAACUAGCACGAACAAACUUUUGACUGAACAAGUAUUGAACAUGAACAAAUAUAUCUGGACCAACUGGUAAUGAAUGUGAUCAGCCUUUCAUACCUGACUUAUACAUGCAAAUAUGUACAGAAUACAUGCAAUAUGUACAGAGUACAAUUGUACAUGGCAAUCAACAAUGAUUAACCAUAAGCAUAUCUGAAUGAAACAACUCUUAGUAGAGUUAAGUAAAACUUGCCUGAACCAUUGAUUACCGCUACGCAAUUUAUAUCGCUUUAUCCGAAGACCUAAUAUUAGUAAUAUAGAUCUCCAAUAUUAGAAUAAUAUCAUCACAAUAUAAUACUAUUAUAUAUAUAUAUAUACAUAGAAUAACCUAAACACAUAACACAUAACCCUAUCAGUCUACAACACACAUAAGACUUAGUAUCAGGUCAAACUAUUUCAGUCUGACUUGAGCCCGACAAAAUUCUAACAUCCCGACGGUCUAGUCGAACAAAUCUCGAGUCUAAAAUCACUAAGACUCGGUCUAAACUGGUUCACAAAUAUCUUAAAUAAUUUAUUAUCAGUCAAAAUAUUUUUCAUAAGCUCGUAAUAAUUUUCAGAUAAUUAUUACCAUUUAUCAUGAUUUUUCAAUCAUUAAUAUCGUAUUUAUAUGAAUUAAAUACCACAUAAUUCCUUUAUCAUUAAUAUUUAUUUAAUAUUAAAUAUUAAUGAAAAUCAUAACAUAAUAUUAUAAUAUAUUUAUAAUAUAUCAAAGUAUUUUUAAUACCUUAAAAUCAUAUUUAUAUGAUUUUUAAACAAUUAAAUUCAUUAUCCGAUAAUUGCUAUUAAUAUUAAAAUAUUAAUAUUUUCAUGACAAAAUAUCAAAAGUUAUAUUUUAUAACUUAAAAUAUUUUUAUAACACUUAAAUCAUUUUUAUAUGAUUUUUAAAUCAUUAAUUCUAUUUUUCCAUAAUUUAUUUAAUAUAUUUAUUAAAUAAAUUAAUUACCAUUAAUAAUAAUUUAUUAAUUAAAUUCAUCACAAAAUAUUAAAAGUCAUCAAAAAUAACUUAAAAUAUUUUUUAAUAUCAUAAUAUAAUUUUUUCAUGAAUUAAAACUAUUUUUAAAUAAUUUAUUUAAUAUUAUAAUUAAAUAAAUAAAUACCUUUUAUAUUCCAAAAAUAUUAAAUAUUUUUGAAAUAUACUUAAAAUAAUUAAAAACUAUUUUCUAGGCUUUAAAAUAAUUUUUCAGAAUUUAUUAUGUAUUUUUAAUAAUUAAAAUCUAUUUUUUUUCAAUUUAUUUAAUAAUUUAAUCUAUUUUUCGAAAUUAAUUGUCACUAAAGAGCCCUAUAGCGACAAAACCGACGCUAUAGGUGUUCUUGAGUGUUCUUGAGCAUUUCCAGAAAACCAUGUCAGUGUUCAAGUGGGUAGUUUUGACCGGUUAUAAUUUCUAAUCCAAUCAUGUUCUGAACUAACUUAGGCUUUAAUCUCGUAGUACACAUGUAAUACUUCUAUCAAUCAUAAAUUUGGUCAUAUCACAACAUAUCAUGAAGAUCUGGUCUCUGAAACAUGUUGUCAGACCAUGCCUGGGUUUUUAGGGUAACCCAGAAACCCAAGACAGUUCGAGUGUCUCAUUUCGACCUCAGUUAUCUGAGGGUUCUGGUCAUUAUUUUAGUGGUUUUAUGGUUUCGGUCUAUAGUCCUUAUGUCAGUGAACAUUUACAUUACAACAAAUCAGUUCAACAACAUAUAAAUCAUCAGAUACAGAUCGGUCAAAGCUUGUCAGGAAUGACGUUCACGUGGUUUCUGGAAAUUCCAGAAACUGAACAAUAUGACCGAGUGACUUGGUUUGACCACUCACUACAUUUGAUAUUUUGAUGUUUUGAAAGGUCUAAAAACAUGGAUCUAUAGUCCAUACAACACACUACAACUUUGUUACAACCACAUGAACAUAUCACCUACAGUCUGACAGAUAAAGACCUUAGAAAAGCUUGUCAGGCCUGGUUUUACACUUUCUGGGUUACCCAGAAAGUUCAUAGUCAUGCUUGGUCAACCAUUUUUGACCUUGAAUAUCUUGAAUUCUGUAAAUGGAAUAGCUUUGAUUCCACUUCCAGAUCAAAGACCUCUUGUCAGACUACAAGUGUAAAGCUUAAAACAACUCAAAACAUAAACACAUAAAGAUCUAAGGCCACUGACAUAUGGUUGUCAGGCCAUUUCUUGAAUUUUUUUUCCACAUUUCAAAAAUACUAGAUUCGAGCACUUUAAUGUUAUGGAUCUGGGAUUUAACAACCCAGAUCACUAAAUAACAUCAUAAUAUAUAACAUUAAACAACAAACAACAACAUCAAACAUCAUAUCAUAGGAUUUCUAAAUUUUAGGGUUUAUAUCACUUUGAUGCUUUGAUUCUGAUUCUGAUCCUUGAGAUCUAUUCCUGCUAAGCUAAGAAGUAUUCUUGGCUUAUCUUAUCACUCUAUCUCAUUCCCAUUCCCGAAAUAUAGAGAGAGAAAAGGUUGGGCAAGCUUGAAAAAUAAAAGUAAGUGACUUUAUUUACUUUUUAAGUCUAAAUUUAUAAUUCAAUGUAUAAUGCUGAUAUUAUUGGCUGAUAUGUGAGAUAUAAGUCACAAGCUAGGGCUAGGGUUGGUGAACAACCCACAUUAGGUCAAGAUCUACACACCAACUCAUUAAAGAAUUGCAAAAGGGGUAAAAUAGUCAUUUUCAUACCAUUUUAUUUCUAGAAUUGUCAUUUGAUACAAACCCUUAGGGUUUGACCCUUAUGGUUUAAUCCUUAGGGUUAAAACCUAAGGUUCCAUAAAUCAAUUUUCUAGGAUUUCCGGAUUAAGGUUUUCGAAAUAUAAAAUUAAUAUUUCAAAAUUAUUAUUAGGAUUUUAUAAAUAUAUUUAGAUUUCCUAAUCAUACUCUCAGUCUUGCUAAUUAGGAUUAUUACUUCCUAAUUAAAUUUGCCAAUUUAGUAAUUAGGGUCAAAAUUGUACAUUAGGGUUUCUGACAGAACAAUUAGGGUUCAAAAAUUUGAAAUUAGGGUUUACUAAUUAAUUAAGCUUUACCCUAAUUAAUAUUAUAAUUAAUAGCACUUAAACAUUAAAAUUCUCCGUUAAGUUCCCAGAUUAGGGUUUUAAAUUACCAGAAUCUGAAAUUAGGGUUUUUAGAUCUGGUAUUAGGGUUUUCUAAUAAUCAAUUAGGAUUUUAAGUAAUUCAUUGGGGUUUUCCCUAAUAAAUUAAAAUUAAUGACGUUUAGACUUAUACAUAGCAUUUAAAUUCCCGAAUUAGGGUUUUUAAUUUCCGAAUUAGGGUUUCGGACUCCCGAAAUUAAAAUUAGGGUUUCAGAGCCGAUUUUUAGGGUUUCUUAUCUGACGUUAGGGUUUUUUAACUGAACGUUGACGUUCUUAAUAUAUACUUAGGGUUUGACACUGAUAAAAUUUAUCUGGUCAACCCUUGACCCUUAACCACAUUCUGAACACAUACAUAACCAUAUACACAGAACAUAUUCACAUAUACACUUAAUCCUAAUUAAUUAUCCAAAAUCCUACACAGAAUUUUGAAAUCCUAAAAAUUCCUUCCCAAAAAUAUCAAACGCAUACACUUAUUUUCUGUCUAGGUCUAUUAUUUGACCUUAAAUUCAUCAUUUAAGAUUUUAAUAAAUUAUCUAAUUUCUCGGGUUGUCACAUUCACCCUUUUUUCUAAGAAUUUCGUCCCCGAAAUUCACCUUACACCAUACACCAUACACCAUACUGCUUACACCAUUCACACAUAUCAUCACAUGCUACCCAAUACACCACACACAAGAGUAAAAGUUUUCAAAUCAUGCUGAGGGGUCAUAUAGACCAUGAACACAUAGUUUUAACGGUAUUCAUACCGCAAAACUAUACAUUACAUUACUUGGUAUGUUUACAAUCACAAAGAAGGUAAACUACCGUUGUUAGUACUUUAGGUGAUUAGCCUAUCGUACUCUUACGUCAUGCAUAACGUAUUAAUCAUGUCUAGCGAAUAUUUACGCUACUCGAUUGGAUUAUUUAUCCAAACAACAUAGUUCACCUCAGUCUUAUUAUAGGAUUCCGCACCAAAACGAUUUGGUUCGGGAAAUUUCUUUCAAUGAACACUUAGAGUUUUCAUAAACAUUAGUCUAGCUGAAUCGAAUAACGUACUCAUAUCAAUAAUUCAAUUCAAUCGAAUUAUUUAAGUGUAGCCAAACCCCGUUGGCAAAUUAAAAUUUUAAAAAUAUUUUCGAGAAUGACGUCAUGAUGCCGUACUGUAUUAACAGUCCGUUUGAGGAUGCCGUCAUUGUAUGACUUUGUCAUUACACAUCAUACAAUAGUGGAAUAGCGAUUUUAGAUCAAAUUCACUUCUUGUAUUUAUAACUCCAUCACCUUUUUAUCAUCUCUGCACCAGGUUACAUGGUACAUAAGUGAUAAAUAAAAUAUAUUUUGAUAUUUCAAAUCAUUUGCGUCUAGCCGAAAUAAGUAGCAUAGACUGUACUUUAAACCGUUUCAAAAAUGAUUAAGAGUCUAUAUUUUUUUUUAAAAAAAAAACACAUAGUGCGUAUUUAGCUUGAUGUCAAAAUUUCGAAGUCUAGCAUAACUAGGAGUUUUGGAAAACUUAUGUCUCCACUAAUGAUCAUUUGCUUAACAAUCUAUCUGUUCCUAUAAUCCUCAAUUCUCCAUUCACAGAUAACUAUACCCAGUUCGUCAAACCACACUUAUGAGUUCAUAAAUUUUUCACAAUUAUAUGAGUUUAAGAACUUACCCUAGUCAGACCUUUGGCGUCCAUUCGCUGAGGGGUUCAUAAACAUUUCGUAUAACUAUGAGUCAAGAAUGUCACAUAAGUAUAAGUUUUAAGAACUCGAAUUUAACCCUAUAUUCUCUACCUAUAACCUAUCUAUCUGUUAUACACAUGAGAAAGGAAUCACCCUCUUAACAUGCAUAUAACAAAUAGCGCGACACAACAAUUCAAUGAUUAUCAAUGCCAGAUACUAAGUAGUUUUUACACUAAGUACAAUUCCCCGCCCAUACAAGGAAUCAUACAACUCAGCUGCCAACAUGAGUCCUCAAUUGAAAUCCCCACCUAAUCUUAACCCCCUUCACAAUACGAAUUUCAUUUAAUCCAUAUUCAUAAUCCUUUCCUGAUUCUGUACCAAUUCAUAGUACAACUGACACACAACAAUCUUGCUGUAAACUUUCCAAUCAUCAAAUUGAUUCUUUUCCCUGCUAUCACCUUAUCAGAUCACGGGGUGAUCUCAUCGUAUAUAUUACGAUUCAAUUCUAUAUCUUAAUCGUUUUGUUUUACGAUCUCCUAUCACUGUACUUUCAGACUUUUAGACUUGAUCUUAUCAUCACUACUGCUCAACAUUAUUAUCAGAGUUAGGGAACUCCGUAUCUUUAUAACUCGCCGAGAUUCAUCUUUGAAUCUUAUCGACACACUAACUCGAUUUGAGUUAGUACUUAUCCUAAUCACUGCGGUUAUUAGUCUCAGGUAUUCCUACUUAAGGUUCAUAACCAAUAGCUUUGAUACCAACUGUAGUAGCCCCAAAUCCGGGUCCUAAUCACCACAGAUUUGGUAUACUAUAUCUAUAACUAAUUGUGGAAGAUAUAAACAUAAAGUGUUUAUACAAUAUAAUUUACACACUAUUCCCCAAAAUCGAGUAAUUUUAACUUAUACACAAUUCAUAAACUAUCUAACACAUAACAUUAUUAUCAAACUAUACUAUUUCAAACUUGGCAUUAACCUUUUCCUGUAUCUGAACGCAUUCGCCUUAUCUGCAAUGUUUAUCAUGAUAUAGCAAGGGUGAGCAUGAAAGUUGCCCAGCAAGUUUAAAUACAAUUUAAGGAUAUAUCAUGAUUGGAAGAGUCUGAAUAAUAAGCUGGCUAUAAUUCAUCAAUAUAAUUGAGAACUAGCACGUACAAACUUUUGACUGAACAAGUAUUGAACAUGAACAAAUAUAUCUGGACCAACUGGUAAUGAAGGUGAUCAGCCUUUCAUACAUGACUUAGACAUGCAAUAUGUACAUAGUACAAUUUUACAUGGCAAUCAGCAAUGAUUAACCAUAAGCAUAUCUGAAUGAAACAACUCUUAGUAGAGUUAAGUAAAACUUGCCUGAACCGUUGAUUACCGCUACGCAAUUUAUAUCGCUUUAUCCGAAGACCUAAUAUUAGUAAUAUAGAUCUCCAAUAUCAGAAUAAUAUCAUCACAAUAUAAUAAUAUUAUAUAUAUAUACAUAGAAUAACCUAAACACAUAGCACAUAACCGUAUCAGUCUAUACAACACAUAAGACUUAGUAUCAGGUUAGACUAUUUAUGUCCGAGUUGAAAUUGACACAAUUCUAUCAUUUCGACGGUCUAGUCGGACAAUUAUCGAGUUUAAGUUCCAUUAAACUCUGUCUAAACACUUAACAAUUAUCUUAGAUAAUUUACUAUCAGUCAAAAUAUUUUUCAUAAACUCGUAAUAAUUUUCGGAUAAUUAUUACCAUUUAUCAUGAUUUUCCAAUCAUUAAUAUCGUAUUUAAAUGAAUUAAAUACCACUUAAGUCCUUAAUCAUUAAUAUUUAUUUAAUAUUAAAUAUUAAUGAAAAUCAUAACAUAAUAUUAUAAUAUAUUUAUAAUAUAUCAAAGUAUUUUUAAUACUUUAAAUCCAUAUUUAUAUGAUUUUUAAACAGCUAAAUUCAUUAUCCGAUAAUUGCUAUUAAUAUUAUUAAUAUUUUCUUGACCAAAUAUCAAAAGUUAUAUUUUAUAACUUAAAAUAUUUUUAUAUCACUUAAAUUAUUUUUAUAUGAUUUUUAAAUCAUUAAUUCUAUUUUUUCAUAAUUUAUUUAAUAUAUUUAUUAAAUAAAUUAAUUACCAUUAAUAAUAAUUUAUUAAUUAAAUUCAUCACAAAAUAUUAAAAGUCAUCAAAAAUAACUUAAAAUAUUUUUUAAUAUCAUAAUAUAAUUUUUUCAUGAAUUAAAACUAUUUUUAAAUAAUUUAUUUAAUAUUAUAAUUAAAUAAAUAAAUACCUUUUAUAUUCUAUAAAUAUUAAAUAUUUUUGAAAUAUACUUAAAAUAAUUAAAAAUUAUUUUUCAGGCUUUAAAAUUUACUAAUUUAACAACCCACAUUAGGUCAAGAUCUACACACCAACUCAUUAAAGAAUUGCAAAAAGGGUAAAAUAGUCAUUUCCAUACCAUUUUAUUUUUAGAAUUGUCAUUUGAUACAAACCUUUAGGGUUUGACCCUUAGGGUUAAAUCCUAAGGUUCCAUAAAUCAAUUUUUUAGGAUUUCCGGAUUAGGGUUUUCGAAAUCUAAAAUUAAUAUUUCAAAAUUAUUAUUAGCAUUCUAUAAAUAUAUUUAGAUUUCCUAAUCAUACACUCAAUCUUGCUAAUUAGGAUUAUUACUUCCUAAUUAAAUUUGCUAAUUUAACAAUUAGGGUCAAAAUUGUACAUUAGGGUUUUUGACGGAACAAUUAGGGUUCAAAAAUUUAAAAUUAGGGUUUGCUAAUUAAUUAAGCUUUACCUUAAUUAAUAUUAUAAUUAAUAGCACUUAAGCAUUAAAAUUCUCCGUUAAGUUCCCAUAUUAGGGUUUUAAAUUACCAGAAUCUGAAAUUAGGGUUUUCAGAUAUGGUAGUAGGGUUUUCUAAUAAUCAAUUAAGAUUUCAAGUAAUUCAUUAGGGUUUUCCCUAAUAAAUUAAAAUUAAUGACGUUUAGACUUAUACAUAGCAUUUAAAUUCCCGAAUUAGGGUUUUCAAUUUCUAAAUUAGGGUUUCGGACUCCCGAAACUGAAAUUAGGGUUUCAGAACCAGUUUCUAGGGUUUCUUAUCAGACGUUAGGAUUUUCUAACUGAACGUUGACGUUCUUAAUAUAUACUUAGGGUUUGACACUGAUAAAAUUUAUCUAGUCAACCCUUAACCCUUAACCACAUUCUGAACACAUACAUAACCAUAUACACAGAACAUAUUCACAUAUACACUUAAUCCUAAUUAAUUAUCCAAAAUCCUACACAGAAUUUUGAAAUCCUCAAAAUUCCUUCCCAAAAACAUCAAACGCAUACACUUAUUUUCUGUCUAGGUCUAUUAUUUGACCUUAUAUCCAUUAUUUAAGAUUUUAAUAAAUUGUCUAAUUUCUCGGGUUGUCACAAUAAGCCUCAUCAAAAUUCUUGGACAUGAUCGCUCCACCUACUGCUGCAUCAGUACUGGCUCUUGUGGUCGCGUGCAAUCCAUCACAAAAUAUUCCAACCUGCAUCCACUAUGGGAUUCCGUGAUGUGGGAAUUUACGGAGCAUAUCCUUGAAUCUUUCCCACACCUCAUAUAAAGUUUCGGAGUCGAACUGUGCGAAGGUGUGAAUAUCGUUCCGUAAUUUUGCCGACUUCACUGGUGGGAAAAACUUAGCUAGAAAUUUUUGAGCUAAGUCAUCCCAAGCUGUGAUUGAACCAGGAGGCAAAGAAUGUAACCAAUUCCGAGCUUUAUCUUUCAACGUAAACGAGAUCAUCCUCAACCUUAUAGCAUUCUCCGAUACAUUAUUGAACUUGAAGGUGUCGCAAACUUCCAAGAAACUCAAGAUGUGCUCAUUAGGAUCAUCUAUCGAACUACCCCCAAACUGGCAUGUAUUCUGGAGCAUCUGAAUUGUUCCCGAUUUUAUCUCAAAACUGUUUGCAUUGAUUGCCGGCCUCCUAAUACUCGACUGUAUAUCUGUAACAUUCGGCAUGGCAUAAUACCCAAGUAAUUUUUGUUCGUCCCCUGCCAUGUUCACUGGUAUUUCUUGUUCUGCCAGAUCUUCUUCCACAGGUGACACCGCACUAGUCAACUGCACUUUCCGGAAUUUCCUUUCGAUAUCGUCUGUAUAAGGAAAAUGUUCCUUUUUAGCCCUUGAUCUAGUGUGCAUACACUCGCAAAGAAUUCUUGCAAAUACAAGAAGAAAAAUAAAUAACGUUUAAAUUAAGACCGAAUUGAUUAUAACUAAUAUGAAAUUAAUAUUAAUAUAGUAUUCCCCGGCAACGGAGCCAAAAACUAGUUGGUUGAUUUCACAAUCAAUAAAUUUGUGCAAGUGUACACAGUCAACAAGUAAUAAAGUGAUAAGAUAGAGUUUCGAUCCCAUAGAGAAUUCUAAUCAAUAAAUUCCAACUACUAGCACUAUAUCAAUCCAAUUUUAUUUAAACAACCAUAAAGUGUGAUUUUUCAAAAUAAGAAAAACUAAAUUAAACAAUUAAAAAGAGAUUACUCUAAAAUAAAUCAAAAAAACAAAAUUAAGAUUUUAACGAAUGAAUUCAGAUAAAUAAAGAUUAAGACUCCAAUAUCCCCAAUUAUGAACUAUAAACCAAUUAUCCAAUUAUCUCAAUUAUUAUGCCUACUGAAUUGUUAACAGGAAUUCUCAAGUGUCAAAAGCCCUUUUCCAAGUGAUCAAUUAACUUCUAUUCAAUCCAAUUAAUCUUGCUAUAUUCCUAUGCAAAACAAUUAAAUUAAACUCUUUCAAUCCCAAUUCCUAACUUGUUACAUGCAGUGAACAUAUAUUUCCAUUCAAUUCACGACCCUAAUUAUUCGUCAUGCAAAUAAUUAAGAAUACAUGUUAUCAUGCCCAGUUCUAACCCUAGAUCUCCUCUUCCAAUUCCUUCUAGAGUAACAAGGUAAUUAUUGGCCAAAUAAUUAAUCAAUAAGCACAAGAUAAGAUAAACAAUUCACUUCGACAUAAAUAAUUGGAAUAAAUUGAAUAACUAAUUUAUAGACAUAAAAGGUUUAAUUGAAAUCUUAAUGAAAGAAUUAGUUCAUGAUAGAAUUUAAAACCAACAAUCCUUUAAAAAUCAUCCUUAAGGAAUUACACCAAUUGAAAAAUAGGAGAAGAAGAAAACUCUAGAGCCAAUCCUUCAAUCUUCAAGUAAUCCCUUACUUAGUCUUCAAUUGUAGUAGUUCCCCCUUUUAAUUCAGCACAGUAAACUUUAUAUACUAUUCACAUUGCACCACAAUCCUUUCUCAAAUCAACCUCUCAAUUAAGCCACAAAUCCAAGUCAACUCGUUGGUCAACACGCGCGUCUUUGGUCAACUGAUGCCGGGCUUCAGUGCCCCGGCGCUGUGGAAUAAACUAGCUAGAGCGCCCCGGCGCUGAGCUUCAAAAUAAUUACGAAAAUGCCAUUCACAGCUCAAACUUCUCAAUUUGCCCCUGUGUCUCCUGAAUCUGCAAAAUAACAACAAAUCACAAUAAAAAUUCUACUAAACGACUUGAGAAUACAAUAAUUUAAGCUCGAUUAUAUUCAAUUCAUGGGUAUAUUACCCAAUCAUCAAUUACUGUAACAAUUAUUGAGUAGUGUCUUCUUACGUAAGAAUUAAUAAUUCAAAAAUACUGUGCAAUACCGUGUACUACUCUGCAACCACGCGUAUUACUGUAUUUUAACCACCAGGUAUUUUAACAGUGUUAAUGGUAACAAUUAUGCCGUUAUUUAUAAAAACUCAAACUUAUUGUUUUCUUCAUCCAACCGUUUUCCGUUAUGGGGCCCACAAAUGACUGCACCGUCGUACGAAUAUUCCCCUACAACAAGAAUAUUUCACGACCAAACGAAUAUUCACCAACAACUUACCAACAGUACAAGGAUAUGUAGAAUCACGCAUCAUUGAGGUGUCUCAUUUUUAUGUUCUUGUGAUCUUACAAAUUGUAUGAACAUUGAGGUUCAUUAAAAAUGUGAGUGGCUCUGUUGAGUUGAGUCGAGAGAAUAUGUUUUGAGAAAUAAUUUUUGUCAAAAAUUAAGGAAAGUGCUGCUUCUAUAUAUGUCUCUCCUCCCCUGGUAUAUCUAUAGUUCUUUCUCCUCCCCUGGUAUAUCCCUGGUAUAUGUAUUUGGAAAGUCUUCAACUAAUGGAAGUCAUCCAUAUCAUGUCAGGAAAGAGACCCAUGGAAAAUAUCUAUUAAACAAUAUAUUUUUGUACAAGUUGGACGAAAAUAUAACAGCUUCUACACGGAACAUAUCAAAAAAAUAUUUGGACAGAAAACAAUAGACAUUGAGAAGACCUUUAGAAAGAGAUCUUGUUAAAUACCAAGAUGUGCAAAGUCUGAUAGAAAACGUGCCAUUAUAAAUUCCAUUACACUUUGUCAAUUACAAUUUCUUUCACAACUUCACUUCCAUUACAACUUUCAACAAAAGACAAUUAAUUUUUCAUAAUAACAAACAAAUAGAGAAUAAGUAUUACAAAAACUCAUUUCUUCAAUAAUUUAAUUACUUGUCUCAUUUCAAUUAUAGUAGGAUCGUGCAUAAUGAAAUUAUUUGGCAGCUGCAUUUUCCAUUUGGGCACGCAUAGUAGAUUCAACCUUCAUUUCCAUUCUUAUUGGAGCGGGUAAUUUUACAAAUCGCAAAUUGUCUACAAUGACAUUGCUUGCUUUGAAUCCUUAAAUCAUAUUCACUGUUUUUUACCAUGCUUCCUGAUGCCAUGUUUUUCUACAAAAAAAUUGUUUGUCAAUGAAUAUAAACACAGCCGAAUGAAUAGACUUUCAUGGUUAAAAAUAAUAAUAAAUCAAUAUGUCGUAAGUUCCAGCUUUCAUUCCAACUAAGGAUCUAGCAAAAACAGAACAUAUCGAUCUGAUACAUAUACUUUAUUUCAAAAAACAAAAAAAAAACAGAAAAAUUGAUCACUUCAUCAAUCAAAGAGAUCUAACAAAUCAUUUCAAAAUGGUAGAUUGAAGGAAAACAAGAUAAUAUACACCAAGGAUACGCUAAAGAAAGAAAGGUUGUCAAGGGAAACAACAUCAAGUCCCCUCUUUUGCAAAACAACACUACCAGUCUUUUUGAGGAGGAGACAGUAGUACUAGUACAGUAAACAAUUAGAGAUGACUGCUUCCAGUUAAAGAUAAGGAUUUUAUGAUAGGCAUAGAUGAUUUCCAGCAUUAUGACAUUUGCAACAAGUGUUACAGGGAUAAGUUUGAAGCUCCCUACCUCUCCAUCUACAACAUGUAACAUUCAAUAACAUAAGUUUGCAUAUAUUCAAGUUCCCUGAAUUGGAACUUAAAACUCCUCGAAAGAUUAGGGUUAUUUUCUCUGUGACUAGUAGUCAUAAUUAACACUUAAAAAUCUAUAUUAAAAUGACACAAACUAUUAUACACAUUGUUAACCAACAAAUAAAUGGCUUGGAUCCACCAAAUUUGCUCCCUAGCCAAAUAAGAGAUUUCCUAGGAAACAGAUACUUCUACAAGUUUGACAUGUUCAUACAUGUGUUUGACACUUCCUUCUACAUAGAAAUGAUUCAAGUAUAGAAGUUUUCCUAUUUGCUCAACACUAGUAGAAUUAUGGAUACUUGUCUAACCAUAUCCAAAACCUCAAGGUACUAUAUUCUUUUUAGUAUGUUAAAUUAUUAUGUUGUUAAAUGAAACAAAUAAAAUGCUUUAUCACAACAAAAUUUAGAUAAGAGUACACCAAUAAAAGUAAGUAAAUCAUCUUGUAUCACAUACAUUAUACUAUAAUAGAUGCGUAUUGAUAUAUUAGACACGUUUUCAGUCUUCACUAAUUGCAUAAUAUAGUACUUAUUUAUUAUCACAACAUAUAUUAAACUAACAAAAAGUUUAAGUUCUUUACUGAAAUUGUAAGUUCUGCCGUUUCUAAAAAAAAUUAUUCAGAAUAAUAUUAAAUGCUCCACAACAAGUACCAUGAACAGUAAAUAAUAAAAAGGCCAUUGUGAAUGUUUCAAUUGUACAAAUUCCAUUUGUUCAGAAUCAAAAUCCUUAAUUUAGUCAUAAAAUUUUCUCCUAAAACAAGAAUUUGCACAAAAUUUUCACCCAAAACAAGAGUUUGCACAAAUUUUAGGGUUUUAGGGUUUUGGGAAUUGAGGCGUAUGAGAGAGUAAUGGAAGGAGGAGGAUAAGAAAUGUGAAGAGGAUACCUUGAAAGCUGGUUAUUUUGGAUCUCACUUUGUUCUAGGCGGCAGCGAAGCAGCGAGUUUGGCGUGAGAGAGUGUUUGCUAGAGAGAGAGAGUGUUUGGUAAAGUGAGAGAGACAGGUGAUUUGAAAGUUUUUUAUAGUUUCUCUUCUUUAUUGAUACUGAUAUGGCACAGCCACAUCAGCCAAUUGCCAACCCCGAUCCCCAAACCCGGUUGCCCCAGAAUUAUUGUUUUUCAUAAGAGAUUAUUAGCUGUUGAAGAAUCUAUUCACACUACCUUUGAUGAGACUAAUAUUGUAGAGCCAAGUAAGACUUGUAUCUUUGAUGAAGUCAUGGAACAUGAUGAUGAGAUUGUAGAACAGAUAGUCUACGGUUGAAGAUGAGGAAAUCGUGGAGCCUAUUACACAACAUGAAGAGAUUAUAGAGUAAGAAUUGCAGAAUCAACAAGGAUCUACCUCAUCUUUAUAAAAUGAAAGCACUUCUCAACAAAAUCAAGAAGAACUCGACUCUGAGGGACUUAUGUAAUGCUCCCCUAAAUUUGGUGCAUACUAUUCAUCAUCAUCCACAACAUCCAACUAGUAACAUAAUCUAAAAGACAUAAAAUAAUUACAAAUAUGUUUGUAGACACCCAAAAUUUUCACAUCUUUUCUCUAAUAGUGGCAGGAAGGCACAAGCGUCAUUUCACCUUGAGACCAAGAUGUUUAAGCAAAUAUUACAAGGCUCAAAACAAAUAUUCGGAGCCCCCACGAUAACCUCCAAGCAACAAACUACACAAAUGAAGAUAAGUGACUAACAAACAUUUGUAGAAUGAUGGUUUCCCCCCCUUUUCUCUACUUCCCAAAUCCAAAAUUGAUCAAACUCAAUGUCAUUGUGUAUCUCUCGAAAAGAGCUUUCCGGAAUUGUAUGACACGUUUUCUAACUCUUCUUGGUUUGAAAGUUAUGAACGUUUCAGUACGCAACAUAGAAAAAUCGACGCCGUCACACGAAAAUCGAGGCUAGUGGGCCCCACCCUAGGCCAACCGCAGACCUAGGCCCACUCUAAAUCCAAUCUAGAUCUAAUUUUUUUCAUCAAACCUCCUACCAAUCUAGCGUCAAGCCUUCCAUACAAAGCUUAAAGAGGAAGAAACUAUCACUCCCAAGGUUAAAGUUCUCAUCAUUAUUGUGAUGCCCCCAAAUCCGAGUACCUUUAACCUACGGAUCUGGUGCUUCACGGUACUAACUCUAACAUACAUUUAACCAUACAUUCAUACUAAUAGGAAAGUAAUUACAAUUAUUACAAGCCUAUUAUUACAUACCUAGAUUUAUGACCUUUAAAUCUUCUUAACAUGAUAAUUAAAACAGUAUAUUUACAAUAAGCCUAUCUAUUACAAAUAAGGUUCACAUUUUCUUAUUAAUUCAUCUUGUCUUUGUCUUUGUCCUUUCCAGAACCAUCUACACACUAAGUUUUUGCUGAAAAUAUUUAAUUUAAAGCAAGAAUGAACAUUUAAAUGCCCAGCAAGUAUAAUAAUUGCAUAUAAAAUAACAAAACCAAGAGUCAUGCUUUCAUAAUUCUAAACUUUCAAUAACUGAACAAAAGUUUUGAAGAGAUCUCAAAUAAUGGGAAAUUACUUCCUUUGUUUUCAAAACAUAUUUUUGAAACAAUGUACUGACUUUAGCUGAGCGGUUAUAAGACCUCGAACUUUCAUUUUCAUCCUAAAAGGUUUUGAACAACUAUUCCUCUAUAACCCGUCAUAGCUUAUAGGCACGUUGGGUGAUCAGCCCUUUGUACCCUGUAUUGAUCAAUACUACAUGGCGAACGACUGACUUUGCAUUCUUCCGUCACUCGACAUUACAUGUCGAUAAUAUAAAAUAUUUCCCCCAAUAUUAGGGUUGUUCAUUCUCAGACUGAAUCUGUACUAAGUAGAAAUUUGUUUUUGUAACUUAAACUCAAUAACAAUUCGAAAGAUCGUAUCUAGAUCAUUGAAAAGUUUUAACAUGUGUCUAGCCAAUACAAAUGGCAUUGACAUACCUCUUAAAAAGUUUGUGCAUAUUAGAAUUUUGAAAACUUGAACAAUUCAUAGAAAGCUUAACAAUCUAUGCACUAUGGCAUAACUAAACACAUAUACAACCACCAAAGAGUUUGUAUAAGUCUGAAGUAUACACAAUCGUUAAACAUUGUGGAAACCGAAGCACGCAUAAAUAUUAUUAAUAAAAAUAUACAUCCACAUACUUUAAACCAACAUUCAAAUGAAGAUUAAAUGGAGUUAGAAUACCUGCCUUAGGAAUCUUUAAUACUUUAGUGUUAAUCUCCCUUCGUAAGUCCUACACAUUCAGUGCAUAUAAACAUACCCCAAUUAGCCACGUAUAAACAUCCCUCACGGUUUACAUUAACUCCUUUUUUAACAUACUACAUAUGAAUCAUUAAAUUCAAAAUAUUCAUUAAGUUUAUUAUCAUUCGUUAUGGCUUUCUGACGUCUACACGUUGUAGACACCCGAAAUUUUGUUUUCCUUUUACUAACCUUGCAGGAAGGCAAAAGUGUAAUUUCACCUCAGAGACAACCCCGCAGAAAGGCAAAUACAUAACUCCACUCUAAAAAUAACCCUGUGGAAGGGCAAAAGUGGUAAUUUGCCCCUACCAUGACAUGAUUCGAGCGAGAAUCACAAAGUUGAGGAUAAGGACAUAAGAAGCCAGUACAACAAUUCCGAGACGCAAACUACCCAAGAUGAGCCAUAUGACCACACUCGGAUACCGGAAGAUAAUUAUUGACUUGUUGCUCCAUCUUCCCGGACCCAGAAUGGACUAGACUUGAUGUCAUUGUGUAGCACUCAGAAGAAGUUUUUCGGGAUAGUAAGGCACAUCUCCCAACUUUCCCUGAUUGAAAGAUACGGGCGACCGAAGGAACGGACUUCGAGAUUGUGGGACCCACAGGGCCCAGUCACAGGUGCAACUACGACUAGCUAUAUGUAUACCUACGGCUGGCCACGAGACCUAUAUCAGAGCAUCAACAUCUCAUUUCCAAAAGAGAGAGCUUGUUAUAGAGAGAGAAAGUAGGAUUUCUAGAGAGAGGGGCUCAUAUUUAGCAUAAAACAUCCUUAGAUUCAAGUGAGAGCUAGCAUUAUAUAGUUAGAUCUUAUGUUUAUAUAUAUAGUGAUAUUGUGAGACCCCGAAUUUUAUGAAAUGAAAGUAUUCAAUUUUCUAAUAAUUAUUCUAUUUAGUAAGUGGUUAAAUUGAUAAAAGGUUAAAGUUAAGGGUGAUAUGUGAAAAUUUUUCAAAGUAUGCAAGUUGUUAUAAAAUAUUCGUUUGGUCGGGGAAUAUUCUUUUUAUCGGGGAAUAUCCGUAGGACGACACAAUCAUUGGUGGACCCCACAACGGAAGUAUUGUCAUAGUAAGAAAACGACAGAAUUAUCUUUUUAUAAAAAUAACAGCGAAAGUGUUACCGUUAAAACUGUUGAACUACUCGGUAGUAAAAGUACAGUAAUACGCGUGGUUGCAUAGUAACACACGGUAUUGAUUAUUGAUGCUUACAUGAGAAGUCACUUAGUUAUACUGAAUUAUUGCUACAGUAAUUGCUGCAUCAUAUCUCUCAUAUUAUUGAUUCAGUUGUUGUCACAGUAUCAUCUGCAUAAUAUGAUAUAUUAUUAAAUCAAUAAUUGAGACGGCAAAGUUAUUCAUAUUAUUAUUUUUAAUAUUGACAAUGUCUAGAAAUUCUGUCAAGGAGAGGUUUGGUCACCUAAUUGCGCGCCAAUAAGGAGAAAUCCUUAUCGGAAAGCCCCCUCUUUCCUGGGAACGACCUGGUUGUUAAAUAUUGUGAGUUAUAAUAUUAUUGAUGAAUAAGUUCGUGUUGAUUAAAGAUGAAAUUGAUAGUUCCAUUGUGUGGGAAUUAUUGUUAGUGAAAAUAGGCAUUUAUUUCGAUAAUAAUUGAUGUCUGGAAGUUAUCGGGUAAUUAAUCGGAUAAAUGAACAAUUAAUUGCUAUUAAUUCACAUGAUUAUAACUAUUUAUUCACAUGUGUGUACUAUUGAAUCACAUUCAUUUACUAUUAGUGGAGUUGGUGAAAGUUUGAUAAUACUUGCAUGACUAAGUUAAAAAUGGAGGUAUAAAUGAAUGUACUAUACUAUAAUUAAUUUUUUCACAUGUUUAGAACUAUUGAGUUACAUGAUUUACUAUUGAUUCACAUGAUUUACUAUUAGUGGAGGUGGUGCAAGUUUGAUAAUACUUGCAUGACUAAAUUAAAAAUGAAGGAAAAGUUGAAGGUAUUGUACUGUAAUAUUUCGAGCCCCAAAACGUGCAAUUAUCGAAACUAUAUUUUCCUAUAAAUAGAAGCUCAUUCCUUCAUUAUUUUUCACCAAUUCACUAAGUCUCACAAAAGCAAUUAUUAUAGAGAAAUUAUAGAGAGAAAGAUGAAGAGAAGUCGGCUACUUCACUAUUCCAGUAUCCAGUUUCUUCUGAGGUAAGGGUAUUAUUCUUUCGUAUUCAUGAAGAUAGUUAUUUUCUUUCAAUACUCGUAAAGGUUGUUAUUCCAUUAUUUACUAUUAUGUUGAAAUAACCUGUCUAUGCGAAGUACCGCAUAUAUGGUGAAAUUCUUCUGUUAUUUAAUUCUUUAUUAUUCUGUUGGAAUAACCUGUCUGUGCGGUCUAUCGCAUGCCUGGUGAAUUCUGUUGUUAUUCCAUUCUUUAUUAUUCUGUUAGAAUAUCCUGUCUGUGCGGAUUACGCAUGACCUGGUUCCAUUCUUUAUUAUUCUGUUGGAAUAACAUGUCUAUGUGGAUUACCGCAUGCAUGGUGAAUGAUCCUUCGUAUUCAUUCUUUAUUAAAUUGUGAAAAUGAUCUGUCUACGUGGAUUAUCGCAUGGCGGGUGAAAAUUCAUUUGCAGUUUCGUAUAUUCUAUUAUACUCGUAUGAGAUAUCAUUUCUUUUGUACUCGUCAUGGAGUAUCAUUUUCUUUGGUAUUUUUUUACGAGUUACUAUUCACGGGUUACUAUUCACCUGGUUACUAUUUACUCGAAUAUUAUUCACUCGGGUAUUUGGGGUACUUUUCAUGCCGGGGUACUAUUCACGAGGUACUAUUCUCGAAGUACUAUUCAUAGGGUACUAUUGCGGGGUACUAUUUACCCAAAAAAUAUAUUUCUUUUCUGUCCAAAUUAUUUUUGGUACAUGAAUAUUAUUCUUGAAUUUUACUCCACAGAGCAGUAUCAUGUUGACAAUUUGGAUAUUUUUAAACUCUGGAUAAAUUUAAAGUCUUUAAUAUUUAUCCUUGAUUUCAUUUGAUUAAUGCUUAUAUCAUUAUCAUCAUCAUCAUGCUUAUAUUAUGAUGAAAGUCAUCUUUAGCUUACGUGCAAAGAUGGAUUGUUGAUUAUUGGUUUUACAAUUGUAUAUCUUGGCUUACGUGCAAAGAUGGACUAUUGAUUAUUGGUUUUACAAUUGUAUAUCUUUGGCUUACGUGCAAAGAUGGACUGUUGAUUAUUGGUUUUACAGUUAUAUAUCUUUUUCUUACGUGCAAAGAUGAACUAUUAAUUGAUGAGUAUCUUUGGCUUAUGUGCAUAGAUGAACUGUUUAUUGGUAUGAUUAUGACGAGGGAUCAUUCAGUAUAAUCAUGACCCGUAAGGUUAUAGAUGAUGUGGUAAAAGUCCUCAUUGGCCCGUAGUGCAUUGAUGGACAGUUAUUGGUAUGAUUAUAACCAGGGAUUAUUCGGUAUAAUCAUGACCAUUGAUGAUUACAUGAAUAUCCUUGGCCGUAGUGCAGGGAUAAUUCGAUGAUGUGGAUUAUUUAUUAAGCUGAGUCUCAACGAUAACAUAUUGAUUAUACACUUUUAAUUCGUAAAAGAUAGUAGAUAUUAUGCUCUACUUGACUCUUCUAAAAUACACAGUUGUAUGUCUUUGGCCUGUAGUGCAAAGAUGAAUUGUUAAUGAAUAUCUUUGGCCGUAGUGCAAAGAUGAAUUUAUUAGUAUGAUUAUGAGCAGGAAUUGUGAUUUGGUAUAACCAUGAUUUUUGAUGUUUCAGGUGAAGAUAGGUGAUGAAAAUUAUCUUCGUCCUGGGUGCGAAGAGGAAUUUAGAAUCACAAUUAUGAUUAUGAGUUAUUCAUAUGAUUGUGGACAGGAAUUGUUGAUUGAUGUUACAGGGAUAAAACAUUAUUGGUGGACUUUUAACAUGGAGAAGAUAAUAGACCUGAUGGUCUAUUUGACUCUUCUAAUGGAUUGCUCGUUCCGCUGCAACUAUGGUUGAAAAGUUUUAUCAUCUACCAUAUGUUCUAAAUCUCUGAUUUAUUACUGAUGAAGGCUAUUGAUAAUUUAAUUAUCUUUAGUCAUGAUAUUCUUUACUGGGCUAGUUGUGCUCACCCUUUUGCUUCACAAUUCCUUUCAGGUAAUAAGAGUGUAGCUGGGUUGAGCGGGGGUAACAGGAGAAUAAAACGGUGGUCUAUAGCUGUCGAGGUUCUCCCUAAAUAGUAUGGAAAUAAUUUUAUUGAGAACUUUAGAUAAGUGUGUCGUAUUGUAUACGUCAUUUGAUAUUUAAUUUUGGUGAACCGAUUAAGGUGAGGCGAACCCAACUUUGGAAGGGUGUUUUGUCACUAUCAUACAAGAUGUCUAAUGACAUACAACCUCGUGUUAUCAUUAGAUAGGGUUGUGUACAUCCACUUGCUGAGUAUAUCUACGAGCACUACCUAUAUGAUCUUGGAGUUUGGUUGAAACAUAAUGUUCAAUUGCAGACGGUGGAGAUAGUUAUAUGUCAAGAGAAGACUCACCAUUGGAAGGAACAUGAUAGUAAUCUUCUCAUUUUUCUAUGGGGUCUAUUGGAUCAACCAAGAAUAAUUCUCUGGACAUAUGAUAUCUAUCAUAACCUAGACGCAUGGCCUCCUAUGUACGAAGGUUUCCUUGUGCACUUCCCAAAGAUUUUAAUUUCUAAAACAGUUUUUGACUGUACUUUUAUGUAAAGUACCAUUGUAAGGUUGUGGUCGAGGCACCAUGAGACUUACAUACAUUUGUAAUAAAACUCACAGUUUAACUGUGGUCGUAUUCUGCACGACAGUUCAACAGAUGUAUAAAUGAAGUUUGUAUUUGAUUUUUAUAGUAUGAUAUCUGGUGACUCAGAAUGGGUCGUGUGGACCUAUUUUGGGGGCGUCACAGAUAUAGCUUGGAUUCAAGUCUAAGGAAGCUUGUUUCUUCAUUCCCAAGGUCAAAAAUCGAAUCUUUUUUCACUUCUUUGUAAAUAUAGUUAAAUCUAUUAGAUCUAGUUUAAUAUAGCGCUUAAAUACAUUUAAAGUUGCAAUAUUUAUACAUAUAUUAGUUUUUUGCCUAUAGAUCUAUACAUUUUACCAAAUAUUUUUCUUAUAUCUAGUUAAAGAUUGAAUCUUUUCACUAAGCCUAGAUCUAGCUAGAUCUUUCCCAUAACCAGUUCCAUGGCUUCAAAGCUUGAACCUUUAUGAUAUAUAGAUUGGCUCGAAUCUAGGUUAGAUCUAGUCGUUUUUAAUGUUUUCAAUUAUUUUGAGCACUCUGCAAAAUCCUAGAUCCAUGUCUAGUAAGGAAGAGGUCCUAACUAAUCGCACUAGGAAUUCUAGUCAGUGAAUCACCUGAUAGCGAUUUUAGGAUACAUUUUUAAAUACUUUUGUUCAAAUCUCGAUGGUGUUUUUUUGCGAAUUUUUUGAUACUGUAGAUCUAUCGAUUCAUACCCUAGAUUCGUGGGUCCUUCGAUAGAUCUCGUCACACACACAGUCCCUCGAUUGACAGCUUCGAUAUUGUGAUCUAAAAGCUAGGGCGCGGGAGCUCCUUUUGGAUCUUUCCAAGUCAUGUUCAAAUAAAUCAAUGUGUAAUGAGUGGGUUUUAUUCCUACAAAUCAGUUACCUUUUAAGCUUGAUUCGAUGCUACUUUGAGUAAGUUAAGGAGCAUUUUAUACGUUUUCUUGUUUAUGUGUUGCAAGAACAGGUUGUGAAGAUGGAAAUAGGAAAAACGGAGCUUAAAGGGAAAAUUUUCAAUUGCUUGGCCAGACUACUAGCUGGGGGCGGGCAUUAUAGAACAAAAACUGUGACGCCCCCAAAUAGGUAUACACAACCCAUUCAGAGUCGCCAAAUACAUGGUACAUAAUACAAAUACAAACUUAAUUAUACAACUGUCGUGUAACAUAAGCUAAGAGUUUUAACACGAAUAUUAUCUCGCAGACAAUAUCCAAGCUCAAAUGAAGUCCUCAUUACAUUUAUUAUCACACUAUUUCACAGAAUAGUGAGGACUACUAUAGCAACCAUCUGGACCAUCACUCCAUUCCCUGACUAGUCCCAGCUAUAUUCUCAUUUCCUAAAGAGAACAAUGAAAGAAAAGGGUGAGCUCAACUAGCCUAGUAAAAAAUAUUAUUACUAAGAUAAUGCAGAAUAAUUAUCGUUAGCCCAGUCGCCUGAUAGAAUAUAAUAAACAACAAGUUUAAUUGCAGCAGAACAAAUAAUCCAUUAGAAGAGUCAAGUAGAGCAUGAUGUCUACUAUCUUCUAUGAAUUAAAAGUUCAUCAUCAAUAUUUUAUUGUUGUAAUACAACUCAAUAAAUAAUCCACAUCACUGAAUUAUCCAUGCACUACGGGAAAAGGAUAUUUAUUAGUAUUACAUCCACGAAUUAUCCAUGCACUACGGACCAAUGAUAUUCGUUAUUAUCACCAAUGGUCAUGAUCAUGACAACAACUGUCCAUCAAUGCACUCCGGGCAAAUGAGGACUUUUACCACAUCAUUUAUAAUAUUACAAGUCAUGAUUAUACCGAUACAUAAUUCCUGGUCAUAAUCAUACCAAUCAACAGUCCAUCUAUACACUACGGGCCAAAGAUGACUUUCAUCACAAUAUAAGCAUGAGUAUGAUGUCAAUAAUAUAAGAAUCAAUCAAGUGAGAUCAAGGAUAAAUAUUAAAGAUUUUUAAUUUAAUUUAUCUAGAGUUUAAAAAUGUCCAAAUUGUUAACAUGAUAACUGCUUUGUGGAGUAAAAUUCAAGAAUAAUAUUGUAUCAAAAAUAAUUUGGAUAGAAAAGAAAUCAUUUUUUGUCAUGAAUAUUACCCCGGGUGAAUAGUACCCGAGUGAAUAGUACCCCGACAUGAAAAGAUUAAAAUUUAACAAGAUUGUGCAGAAAAUAUCAUUGUGAAACAAUACUAGAUGAAACACAAAUUUCAAGGAUAUUCUACUAAUUUUAAGGAGUAUAGAAGGAAUACUUAUCAACAUAAGUGUAGAAUUAGGAAUACGAAACAAAAUAAUAUUACUUACAUACUACAAAGUAUGAAAGAAAAUAUUAUUUCUUAUGAGUAUUGAAUAAAAAAAUAAUACCCAUUACCUUAAAUGGAGAGUAUUUCUGACUGGUAUGGCGGGGAUAUUCUUGAAGAAAACUUACACUGUUUUCUACACUCAAAGCUUCCUUAAACUCAAAAGAAAUACGCUCAAUAUUAUAGAAGAAGAAUUCUCUGAUUCUGGUGUGAUUUUCAUUUCUAAACUAAGCAUCCUAUUUAUAGGAGAAUGGCAGGAUGCUAUUUAGGAAAAUAAUCACGGACGAAUAGUAAAAAUAUUCGGACACAAUUUCAUCAGCAUAUAUUUGAGACCACCAAUAAGGGAGUGCCCUCCUGAGGAGGUUACUAAUAAAGUGGGAGAUAAGGACCAAUGAGGGAGCACCCUCUUUUGAAAGUAACUAGCAAAUGGGGAGAUAUGGACCAAUGAGGGAGCACCCACAUUCAUAAGGCAGUGAACAAUAGCUACAUUAUUUGAAAAGUUGGCUAAUUAUAAAAACAUACGGAAGAAUUUUGUACCCUAAAAAAAACUAAAUGAACAAGCACAAAUUUAAAAGGAUAAUUGAACAAACAUCUGCCACUCAUCAAUUAUUAUUCUUAUAUUUAAUCAACACGAACUUAUUCAUCAUUAAUAUUAUAACUCACAAUAUUAACAACCAGAUCAUACCCAGGAACGAGGGGGCUUUCCGAUAAGGACUUCUCCUUAUUGGCGCGCAAUUAGGUUACCAAACCCCUUUCCUCGACAGAACUUUCUAGACAUUGUCAAUAAUGCAAAUAAUAAUAUGAAUAACUUUAUCGUCUCAAUUAUUGAUUUAAUAAUAUAAAAUAUUAUGUAGAUGAUACCGUGACAAUAAUUGAAUCAAUAAUGUGAGAUACUAUGCAACAAUUAUGUAGCAAUAAUUGAAUAAAACUGAGUGACUUCUUGUGACACCCCUAAACCCAGGUACUUCAUUCCCACAGGAUUUGGUGUUCACUUAAUCAAACAUUCAUAUCUAACUACCCAAUCAUAAUCAAAUUGAAUAAUGAAAACUUUUCCCAUUAAAGGGUUACAUAAUAAAAAUCUCCCAGGUUGUCUAACCUUUAAAUACAAUCAUUCAAAUGCGGAAUUAAAAUUAUUACAUAACACCAUUAUUAAGAAGUCUAAGAUCAUCACAAUAAUAAAAGUACAAAUCAGCAUCACUUGUACAAUUUUCCCUUUCCUUUGCUAGUUGAAGGUUCAUCUACCUUCUCUCCACUUUAGCUGCAAUGAGUUUAUAAAUAUGCAAGAGUGAACAAAACAAUUGCUCACUGGAUAAAAUAAUGAAUCAACAGAAGGAUAACAUUAAUAACUCCCAAUGAAUAGGCUCAUCAAAACUAGAUAGUACUCUAACAAUGAUAAUCAGGAACUAAAAUCCAAAGUAUGGAAUAAACAUAACUGAGGGUCAUAAGACCAUGAACUAUGUCCACAGUUGCGAGUAAUAUUUCAACUCAAACUUUAACAAUCAUAAGACUAUAAGGACUCCUCGUACUUAGGGGGAUCAACCCUUCGUACCAUGUAUUGUGCACAAACAUUUAACGCUACGCGUAAGUUAUCCCCUAAUAAUAGGGUUGUUCAUCUCAGUAUUUAGAGUACAAGUCCGCACCAAAUAGAGUUUGGUUUGGAUAAGCUUUCAAGGGUAAUUUAAAGUUCAACGAUCAUCAACUAGAGGACUAGUUGAAUUAAUACUAAUAACAUCAUACUAUAGAAUACUCGUAAUUGAAUCGUCAUGGUAAAUUAAAAUCAUACUUUAGGAAUAAUCUAAUAGCAUACACCUUGAAUAACUAUAACACACCUUGCUUGAAAAAUGUUAAGCCAAGGUUAUUUAAAAUCUAAUACUAAGCAUGCGUAGCAAUUUGAACGAUAAAACUGUUCAACAUUAGUAUGUAUAAUUGUGCAUGCUAAACAACAAGUUAAAUAUAAGAAUAACUUGUUCAAUAUAAAAAUCAUCAUUUAUAAGGUAAUCGAAUUGGAAACGAUAAUUGCUUCAACAAGAAAAUAGAUUAGAGAACUUGCCUUGCUCGUGGGCUAAACCGAACAAUUCAAAUCACAAUAUCCUAUAAACAUAUGUCAUCAUGACAUAAUUAGUCACUACCACUUUACAAACUUAACUAACUACAUUCAUCAUGUAGGUUUGAUUAUUUAAUCACAUAAUCAAGUUAUAACACAAGUUAAUCGUUGAUAACAUGCUUAUUCAUAGUAUAGAAAUAUUGAAAUUAACAUUUUACAGUCCUACUAUUAUCCCAUAACAAUUCCUUCAAAUUUUGAGUACAAAAAGUACACUGUCAGACCAUUCUGCUAACUCGCGCUGCGGCGACAGUUUAUACUGUGGUGCGGUGCGGAGAUGGUUCUGCGGCGCGACAAUAAUACUACCAGGUCGCGCUGCAGCGUGGUGUCGGUGCUGCGGCGUGAGAUUAAUACUGCCAAGCCAUGCUGCGGCGCGAAACUGCAGUCUUCGACUGACAGCUUCGGCAACAGUAUGAACAAAAGCUAAUUUUGGCCUACAACCUCCUUUCUAACAGUCUAAUUCACAUGUAAUUCAUACAAAGACUUCAUGUAAACAUAAUUCAAGAACUCCUAACAUGUUUCUACCCAUAGAACAACAUAAACAACAAAUUUAAAUCAUCCAAUUUCACUGUUUUUGAUAAAAACUCACUUUUUUGAUGUUUUUAAUGAAAAUAAACACUGUGAUUUUGUUUUCCAACCAAAAUAGUUAAUUCAAAGCACUUUAUCAAUGUUUAUACAUACUCUACCACAUUCAAUAAUCAAUUUAUCAACUAAACAACUAAUUAACCCUUAAUUUCUACCUUAAACCAAACAAUAUAUAUUCACAAAAACUCUCUGUAAAAAUAUUUUUCUUCACAAAUUACAUACAUAUCAUCAAUUCAUUGACUAUAACUUAUGAAAAUAGUUUUAACAUCAUUAGUAUAUCAUAUAAAGCCACAUAACAACAACAAUUUAUCCUUACACAAGGAUUCUACAGAGAAUUAGGGAAGAGAAAAACUAAACUUUUAAAACUAAAAAAAAAAGGAUGAUACCUUGAAGAAGAUGAUGAUACUAUCUCUUUGAUUGUCAAGCUUUUCUCCUCUUCACUCCCAAUUCUCUAGGAUUCUCUCACUUUUCUUCUUCUCUUCUUCUUCUUCCUCUGAGUUUUUCUUUUCUUCUCUCUUACCUCUCUCUUCUAUUCUUACGUCUUAGAAUAUAACGCAUAUAAGAUAUAAUAUAUAUUAAUUAUAUAAUAUAAUACUAACUUAACUGACAUCAGUUAUUUUUAUUUUGAAAACCAAAAGCCAUAAGGCUUGUUUGGCUAACCACUAAAAAAAAAAUCAAUUAAUCCUUAUGCCUUGUUUGGUAAAACACAAUUAGAUUAAAGACUUAAUAGGCAUUAGGCCUUGUUUGGCAAAACUGAAUUAAAACUCCUUUAAGUUAUUUUAAUAACUACUUUAUAAAAGGUUAUUUGUCACACUUUUAUUUAAUUACUCUAACACAUAAAUCAAUACCACAAAAUUAUAAUUUUCUAUAUAAUUAUAACUUUAUUUAAUCAACUAACACAUCCUUUUAAUUACAAAUUCAAAUAAAAAGAAUAAUAAUUCAAUUAAUCAAAACUCUCUAACUUAAUAAUUAAAUUAAAUUAGCAUAAAAUAAUUAAUUUCCUUAAUUAUUUAUUUAACAAAUAGUUAACCAAAUUGAAUCAAAUUUGAACAAUUAUUUAUUCAACAAUAAACACAUCCAUUAAAUACUUAAAUAAUUCAAUAAAUAUUUAAUAUAACAAUAGUUUCGUUGUGGGAUCCACCAAUGAUUGUGCCGUCGUACGAAUAUUCCAUGAUAAAAUGAAUAUUCCUCGACCAAACGAAUAUUUUAUGACAACUUGCUUACUUUGUAAAAUUUAUAAAUAUUACUCACAACUAUAACAUUAUAUCAAAUCCACACCUUAUUAUUCAAAAAUGAUAAUUAGAGAAAAUCAAAUCUUUAGUCAUAAAAGUUGGGGUCUUACAACCUCCCUUUCUUAUGAAAUUUCAUCCUCGAAAUUAGUGUACGUACCUGAUAUGUUGAAGAGGUGAGGAUACCUUGAUUUCAUUUCAGAUUCUAACUCCCAGGUCAUUUCCUCAAUAUCGUGGUUUCUCCACAAAACUUUAACUUGAGGUAUAACCUUGGAGCGUAAAAUAUAUUCCUUCUUAUCCAAGAUUUUAACAGGUACCUCUUCAUACGUUAAAUCUUUCUCUAUCUCGUCUGGUUCUAAUUCAAUAAUGUGGUUCGGGUCUUCCACAUAUUUACAAAACAUAGAUAUGUGAAAAACGUUAUGAACACGAGACAUACUUGGCGGUAAGGUGAGUCUAUAGGCCACAGUUCCUACUCGAUCAAGGAUUUCAAAUGGGCCAAUGAAUCGAGGAUUGAGCUUUCUUCUAUUUCCAAAUCUCGUAACUCCUUUCCAUGGAGCAACACGUAAUAAUACACGAUCUCCAACAUUGAACUCCACGUCUCUUCGAUGAAGAUCAACAUAACUCUUUUGUCGAUCUUGUGAGGUUUUUAUAUGUUGCCGGAUCAUUUGAAUAUUUUCUGUUGUUGUAACACCCCUAAUUUUAUAAAAUGAAAGUAUUUAAUUUUCUUAUAAUUAUUCUAUUUAGUAAAUGGUUAAAUUGAUAAAAGGUUAAAGUUAAGGGUGAUAUGUGAAAUUUUUUCAAAGUAAUCAAGUUGUCAUAAAAUAAUCGGUGAUAAAAUUAUAGUAAUACUCGUGGUUGCAUAGUAGCACACGGUAUUAUACAGUAUCUUUGAUUAUUGAUGCUUACGUGAGAAGUCACUCAGUUUUAUUCAAUUAUUGUCAUAAUAUGUUAUAUUAUUAAAUCAAUAAUUGAGACGACAAAAUUAUUCAUAUUAUUAUUUGCAAUAUUGACAAUGUCUAGAAGUUCUGUCAAGGAGAGGUUAGGUCACCUAAUUGCGCGCCAAUAAGGAGAAAUCCUUAUCGGAAAGCCCCCUCUUUCCUGGGAACGACCUGGUUGUUAAAUAUUGUGAGUUAUAAUAUUAAUGAUGAAUAAGUUCGUGUUGAUUAAAGAUGAAAUUGAUAGUUCCAUUGUGUUGGAAUUAUUAGUGUUAGUGGAAAUCGACAUUUAUUUCGAUAAUAAUUGAUGUCUGGAGGUUAUAUUGACCAAUCGGGUAAUUAAUCGGAUAAAUGAGCAAUUAAUUGCUAUUAAUUCACAUGAUUAUAACUAUUUGUUCACAUGUGUGUACUAUUGAUUCACAUUCUUGUACUAUUAGGGGAGUUGGUGCAAGAUUGAUAAUACUUGCAUGACUAAGUUAAAAAUGGAGGUAUAGAUGGAGGUACUAUACUGUAAUUCGUAUUUUCACAUGAUUAUAACUAUUGAUUCACAUGAUUGAACUAUUGAUUCACAUUAUUUACUAUUAGGGGAGGUGGUGCAAGUUUGAUAAUACUUGCAGGACUAAAUUAAAAAUGAAGAAAAAGAGGAAGGUAUUAUACUGUAAUAUUUCGAGCCCCAAAACGUGCAAUUAUCGAAACUAUAUUUUCCUAUAAAUAGAAGCUCAUUCUUCCUUCAUUUCUCACCAAUUCACUAAAGCUAUAGAGCAAUUAUUAUAGAGAGAAAUUAUAGAGAGAAAGAAGAAGAGAAGUCUGCUACCUCACUAUUCCAGUAUCCAGUUUUCUUCUAAGGUAAGGGGUAUUAUUCUUUCGUAUUCAUGAAGAGAGUUAUUUUCUUUCAAUACUCGUAAGGGUUGUUAUUCCAUUCUUUAUUAUUAUGUUGGAAUAACCUGUCUAUGCGAAGUACCGCAUACAUGGUGAAAUUCUUCUGUUAUUCCAUUCUUUAUUAUUCUGUUGGAAUAACCUGUCUGUGCGGUCUAUCGCAUGCCUGGUGAAUUCUGUUGUUAUUCCAUUCUUUAUUAUUCUGUUGGAAUAUCCUGUCUGUGCGGAUUACGCAUGACCUGGUUCCAUUCUUUAUUAUUCUGUUGGAAUAUCCUGUCUGUGCGGAUUACGCAUGACCUGGUUCCAUUCUUUAUUAUUCUGUUGGGAAUAACCUGUCUGUGCGGUCUAUCGCAUGCAUGGUGAAUUCUUCUGUUAUUCCAUUCUUUAUUAUUCUGUUGGAAUAACCUGUCUAUGUGGAUUACCGCAUGCAUGGUGAAUGAUCCUUCGUAUUCAUUCUUUAUUAAAUUGUGGAAAUGAUCUGUCUACGUGGAUUACCGCAUGGCGGGUGAAAAUCCAUUUGCAGUUUCGUAUAUUCUAUUAUACUCGUAUGAGAUAUCAUUUCUUUUGUACUCGUCAUGGAAUAUCAUUUUCUUUGGUAUUUUUUUUACGAGUUACUAUUCACGGGUUACUAUUCACCCGGUUACUAUUCACUCUAGUAUUAUUCACUCGGGUAUUCGGGGCACUUUUCGUGCCGGAGUACUAUUCACGAGUUACUAUUCACGGGUUACUAUUCACCCGAUUACUAUUCACUCUAGUAUCAUUCACUCGGGUAUUCGGGACACUUUUCGUGUCGGGGUACUAUUCACGGGGUACUAUUCCCGAAGUACUAUUCACGGGGUACUAUUCACCCGAAAAAUAUAUUUCUUUUCUGUCCAAAUUAUUUUUGGUACAUGAAUAUUAUUCUUGAAUUUUACUCUACAAAGCAGUAUCAUGUUGACAAUUUGGACGUUAUUGAUUUCUGGAUAAAUUAAAUUAUAAAUCUUUAAAAUUUAUCCUUGAACUUGUUUUAUUGAAUUAUUAUGUCAUUGUCAUCAUCCUCAUGCUUAUAUUGUGAUGAAAGUCAUCUUUGGCUUACGUGCAUAGAUGGACUUGGUAUGAUUAUGACCAGGGAUUAUUCGGUAUAAUCAUGACCGUAAUGUGACGAAUGAUGUGGUAAAAGUCCUCAUUGGCCUGUAGUUCAUUGAUGGACAGUUGUUGGUAUGAUUAUGACCAGGGAUUAUUCGGUAUAAUCAUGACCAUUGAUGAUUACAUGAAUAUCCUUGGCCGUGGUGCAGGGAUGAUUCGAUUUUAUUUAUUAAGCUGAGUCUCAGCGAUAAAGUUGAUGAAAAACUUUUUAAAUCAUAGAAGAUAGUAGAUAUCAUGCUCUACUUGACUCUUCUAAUGGAUUGCUUAUUCCGCUGCAGUUGUUGAUCUAAAACUUGUUGUCUAUUGUAUUCUAUCAGUUGUUAUACUGUUGAAGGCUAAGGAUAAUUUAUUCUGCAUUAUCUUAGUCAUAAUAUUUCUUACUGGGCUAGUUGAGCUCACCCUUUCUUUCACUGUUCUCUUCAGGAAAUGAGAAUAUAGCUGGGACGAGUCCGGGAACGGAUUGACGGUCCAGAUGGUUGUUUUAUUAGUCCUCACUAUUCUAUAAAAUAGUGUGACAAUAAAUGUAAUGAGGACUCCAUUGAGUGUGGAUAUUGUCUAGAAGACAAUAUUCUUGUUUAAACUCUCAGCUAUGUUUUAUCGUAUUUUACACGACUGUUUUAUAAUUAAGUUGUAUUUGAAUUUAUGUACCAUGUAUUUGACG